CUUUUAUGUUUCUGAUUUCUGGGUUAUGAAUUCAUUUGCUUGUUUUGCUUCCUUUUCUGGAAUUUUAGUUUCAAAUCAAAACUUCAAUGCUAUUUCAUUGUAUUCAAGCCUUCAAAUACUGUUUCAUCAUCUUUUCAUGUCUUACUCAUCAAAUUUAUCAUAUCAUAGUCAUUUAACCAAUGGGCGAGGUAUCCAAAGAUA